UACAGAGGGGGCAAGCGUUAUUCGGAAUUAUUGGGCGUAAAGGGCGCGUAGGCGGCCUGGCAAGUGGAAGGUGAAAUCCCUCGGCUUAACCGAGGAACUGCCCUCCAAACUGCUUGGCUUGAGUCCGGGAGAGGUGAGUGGAACUCCGAGUGUAGAGGUGAAAUUCGUAGAUAUUCGGAAGAACACCAGUGGCGAAGGCGACUCACUGGCCCGAUACUGACGCUGAGGCGCGAAAGCGUGGGGAGCAAACAGG
rnacentral:rRNA from 1 species